GAAAACAUCAGCUCUGUUCCUCUCCAUUGGCUCUUGGUCAUCACUGGUGUUUCAGUGUUGAUUUUCACAGCAGUUUCUGUAAUAUGCUGCUCCUACAAGAAGCAUAAAAAGGGUGCCCAGCAGAAUGAUCAUACAGACUAUACACAAGUUCAGUUACAGGAACAGGCACAAACAGAAAGUCACCCCAGCACCACCUACAGUACAAUAGGACAACACCCAAAACAUCAUAUAAUUUAUUCAGUGGUGUAUUAUUCAACAGUCAUAGCAGAUGACUGGUGCAUAAAUAGCAAAGGUUAAAUAUAUGAAAAAUGUGUGUUUGUCAAUUGAUAUCCUGUAACAUAUCACAAGCAUGCUGAUUUAAGUCAUUCAUUAGUAAUGAGUGAUAACAUAACUUAUAAUUUUUUUGUUGAA